CUAUGCGCCUUGCCAGCCCGCUCAGGUGUGCCAGCCGCCGCGGUAAUACGUAGGUGGCAAGCGUUAUCCGGAAUUAUUGGGCGUAAAGAGCGCGCAGGUGGUUAAUUAAGUCUGAUGUGAAAGCCCACGGCUUAACCGUGGAGGGUCAUUGGAAACUGGUUGACUUGAGUGCAGAAGAGGGAAGUGGAAUUCCAUGUGUAGCGGUGAAAUGCGUAGAGAUAUGGAGGAACACCAGUGGCGAAGGCGGCCAACUGGGCUUUAACUGACGCUGAGGCUCGAAAGUGUGGGGAGCAAACAGG
rnacentral:rRNA from 1 species